rnacentral:rRNA from 1 species
AACGAACGCUGGCGGCAUGCCUAACACAUGCAAGUCGAACGAGACCUUCGGGUCUAGUGGCGCACGGGUGCGUAACGCGUGGGAACCUGCCCUUAGGUUCGGAAUAACUCCCCGAAAGGGGUGCUAAUACCGGAUAAUGUCUUCGGACCAAAGAUUUAUCGCCUUUGGAUGGGCCCGCGUUGGAUUAGCUAGUUGGUAGGGUAAAAGCCUACCAAGGCGACGAUCCAUAGCUGGUCUGAGAGGAUGAUCAGCCACACUGGGACUGAGACACGGCCCAGGCUCCUACGGGAGGCAGCAGUGGGGAAUAUUGGACAAUGGGCGAAAGCCUGAUCCAGCAAUGCCGCGUGAGUGAUGAAGGCCUUAGGGUUGUAAAGCUCUUUUACCCGGGAUGAUAAUGACAGUACCGGGAGAAUAAGCUCCGGCUAACUCCGU